GAUGAACGCUGGCGGCGUGCCUAAUACAUGCAAGUCGAGCGCACGGACGAGAAGCUUGCUUCUCUGAUGUUAGCGGCGGACGGGUGAGUAACACGUGGAUAACCUACCUAUAAGACUGGGAUAACUUCGGGAAACCGUAGCUAAUACCGGAUAAUAUUUUGAACCGCAUGGUUCAAAAGUGAAAGACGGUCUUGCUGUCACUUAUAGAUGGAUCCGCGCUGCAUUAGCUAGUUGGUAAGGUAACGGCUUACCAAGGCAACGAUGCAUAGCCGACCUGAGAGAGUGAUCGGCCACACUGGAACUGAGACACGGUCCAGACUCCUACGAGAGGCAGCAGUAGGGAAUCUUCCGCAAUGGGCGAAAGCCUGACGGAGCGACGCCGCGUGAGUGAUGAAGGUCUUCGGAUCGGAAAACUCUGUUAUUAGGGAAAAACAUAUGUGUAAGUAACUGUGCACAUCUUGACGGUACCUAAUCAGAAAGCCACGGCUAACUACGUG
rnacentral:rRNA from 1 species